rnacentral:misc_RNA from 1 species
CUCUUAUUAUACUCCUCCACCGCAAACUGCCCGAUCUCUACAACGUGCGGGUCUUUCAAAUUCUUUAUAGGCUGCCAUCCGCCGAGCACAGCGGCGGAAGCGAUGGCAGCAAAGAGGAGAAGGGCGAAAAGGAGGCAAUGGCGUUUCAUUUGUAACCGUCAGUCGGGGGUUUCGAAAAAUGGGGCAAUCUUAUUAUACUCCUCCACCGCAAACUG